AAAUCUGCUGGACCAGUGGCAAACAAGGCUUGCUGGAUGCACCUCCUUUCAAGCCCAAGAAGUUGUGUUUGACCGUGUGCACCUCCUUCAUGUGUGGGCUUUCAUUUGGGUCCAUGUUGUGCAGCUGCCCAAGCUGCUGUGUGGACUUUUCAAUUUUCUGAAUGAAGCAUGAUGUGCAACAACUCUUCAUGUGGGCGUGGCAACAGGAGGUGGCGUGAAGAUUCUCAUGGGCCGUGUGUUUCUUCUGCUGCUGUCAAGGAUGUGGAUCAGCUGGACGUUGUUGGAUGAUGCAGACCGUGAUAUGUUGGAGCUCUUUAAUGUGCUGCUGUCCGUGAAGAGGAAUGGGCUGCUACAUUGUGGAGUUGCUGCUUGAAGCUUCUUUCAUUUACGUGUUUCUGUAGUUGUAGGGCCAGGUGGAGAUUGUUGAUUGAAGCUCCUUCACGUGUUGGAUCUCCUCUCCCAUGCUGGACCGAGACACCACUCAAGGUCCGUGUUGCUGUUGUUUUUGCUGUGUGCGUGGAGGGAGCUGGGCCGUGUGCACCUCCAUUCUGCUGCAGGUUGCACCGUGAAGAUGCUUACUGGAUGAAGGAAAACGUUGCUGCUGGGAUUAGUUCCAAUUCAAGCACUUGGAUGCUGCAUCAUGUGGUCCGUGUGUUAUCAUUCAGUCGUGGAUCAGCUCCUAAUAUAUUUUUUUCAAGCUUUGAGAGCUUUCCUCCCAGGCCAUGGAUUCC
rnacentral:lncRNA from 1 species